rnacentral:lncRNA from 1 species
GCUCUUUGUGCCAUGGGUUGCUUUCCUCUUGCUUCUUAGUUAUUGUUUUUCUAUUAUGUGGCAUAUCUGAGAUUCUUUGUUUUAUAAUGUGAAAAAACCCAGAAUUAUGGCAUCUGAUAAGGAAGAUCUUUUUUCUUCCCGGUGUUAACUAAAGCAAGUGUUUUCUAAAAUGAUGGAAUCUAUGAGAGAUAUUUUCCCUCUUAACUAAUUAGGAAUCAAAAAUGAUUUUAUAAUAAAUAAGAGAAAUUGAUGUAUGAAGACCUGAAUAAUAUUCCUAGAACUAUCUGUUAUUCUUUUCAGGACAAUCGCAAUAUCUAUAGCCUUCAAGUUAAAAUUUAAGUUAAAAAGACUUGUCUUAUCUACCUCACAUAAACUCUGGGAAAAGAAAAUAAUUUUAUUAAAAAACAUUCAAACUAUAAAGUAGUACAGUGAGCAAAUAUUUGUUUACAUCACCAUUAUUAUAAUUUUGGAUUGAUAACAAAUAAGUAUAAGUGCCUGAUGCUGUAUGCCUACUACAAUGAUUUUUUUGCAGUCUGCGUGUUUGAUAGUAUU